rnacentral:tRNA from 1 species
CGCGGUCAUCGCCAAGCCGGGCUGGACGGUCUCCUGGGAGGAGGUCGGCCUCGUGUGGUUCGAGGUCACCGUCCGCGGC